rnacentral:rRNA from 1 species
GAUGAACGCUGGCGGCGUGCCUAAUACAUGCCAGUCGAGCGAACGGACGAGAAGCUUGCUUCUCUGAUGUUAGCGGCGGACGGGUGAGUAACACGUGGAUAACCUACCUAUAAGACUGGGAUAACUUCGGGAAACCGGAGCUAAUACCGGAUAAUAUUUUGAACCGCAUGGUUCAAAAGUGAAAGACGGUCUUGCUGUCACUUAUAGAUGGAUCCGCGCUGCAUUAGCUAGUUGGUAAGGUAACGGCUUACCAAGGCAACGAUGCAUAGCCGACCUGAGAGGGUGAUCGGCCACACUGGAACUGAGACACGGUCCAGACUCCUACGGGAGGCAGCAGUAGGGAAUCUUCCGCAAUGGGCGAAAGCCUGACGGAGCAACGCCGCGUGAGUGAUGAAGGUCUUCGGAUCGUAAAACUCUGUUAUUAGGGAAGAACAGAUGUGUAAGUAACUGUGCACAUCUUGACGGUACCUAAUCAGAAAGCCACGGCUAACUACGUG